CAGCAGAGUUUCUGUCUUUUAGGCCCCCUUUAUAUCCAUUAAGUCUUCCUUUGGGUGCUGCUGACAGCUCCAGCUGUCUUCUCACCUUUACAGGCUGACUCUACUUAAAGAAGAGUGGACAUCGUGUCAUCAAUGUUAUGGCACACAUGCAGUCUGUUUCUCCCUCUUCUGCGGGAGCACUCAGCUGCUCUACUGUUAGCGCAUCCAGACACGCCCCCACACGCGCUGUUACCAGAUUCGCACCUUUCGCGCCCACACGCCUCCGCAGCCGGAGGCAAUCUUCAAUCAACACACCUGGGAGUGAUUACAGACGACAGGAUAAAGAGCCUCGCCGCUGACUACUCCUCGUCGGAAUGUAGAUCUGUUCACAUCCCGUGUUUCAACUUCUGCUGUCAUUUCCCUGGACCCAGAUUGCCUUCUUUUGAUCCACCGACAUUCUGCCUUGACUUUUGGACGCCUCUCUCUUGCCCCACGACCCCGCUUGGACCUUGGACUUCCUUGCCUCUUCCCUCUUGUUUUUGGACACCACCAUUCAACAUGCACUACAACACUCUUUACGGUAUUUACAUAUAUUAAUUCCUGCACAUAGUUUUACAUGCAAACACAUAGUAGCAUACACACUCCACGUAUUCAUUAAAUACUCAAUAGAUCAUAACAAUCAAGCUAAGAUCAUCUCAGCACACGUGACUGUAAGGCAAGAUUAUGAGAAUGAUGCUCUCAUGUCGCUUCACUUUUGUUUUAUGUGGAGGCUAAAGUUUGGAUAGGAGAAGGGAGCACUAUUUUCAUCAAUACAACUAACCUCAAAGCACAUCAAGUUGAAUGUUAUGCCUAAGCAUUCGCACAUGCAACAUUCUACACAAAAAAAUCAUCUAUUUAUUAUUAUUAUACCGCUGCAAAAAUUUGCCACGCUCCAAAGCCCAGAGUUGUCAUACGUUCGGAACUGUUCGAGUAUCAAAAUGUUCCACUUGACUGGGAAUCUCGAACUCUCACCAAAAAUAAAAAUAAAAAUUCCCCGAUAACCCAAAAUUUCCGGACAUUUUGACCAUUGAAAAUUAAUGGGCCAAUUUUCACCUUGGACAAUCAAACUGCCAUUUUCCAAGAUCCAAAAAUUCCAGGAAUUUCCAGAAUUCCCAGUUUUUCAAAACUCUAUUUUUACCUCUUCCUGGAACUGUUUAUUGUAGUCCACAUUUUUUAAACAUUUUUGACCAUUACACCAAUUCAACAAUCCUCUUAGUUGGGACAACAAGUGCUCCUAUUUUUUUUUCAUACAUAUUCCAGGUUUUCCCGAAAUUCCAGGAAUUCCGAAAUAGCCAUUCUCAAUUGAAACUGUUACUACGUAAACUUUCUUUUAAGCGUUUUCAAAAAUUCCAACACCAAUCCAUUGAUAUCAUCUAAGACAGUUGUCCCCAACCACCGGUCCGUGACGCAUUUGCUGCCGGGCCGCACAGAGACAAUAGAUCAUUUACGUUUGUAAUUGGCCCGCAUUUUCUCCUACUUAACUUUUGCCAGUCCCACCAGACACACUAAUAAGCUUGUUCAUAUAUGCAUUGUUAAACUCCUGAUAGAAAGUCGCCAUUUGCUAUAUUUGUUAAAUCUUUGUUACAUGGAACAAUGCACAUUAAUAAACAAACAAUGUAAAGGUGCCAAAAGGUAGCCAAAAGUUAGGUUCAAUCUACAGUCCGCGGCAGGUUGAUGACCCAAAAUCAGGGUCAUCAAAGUGAUCAUAGAAGUUAAAGUGCUGGAGAAAUGGUAAGUUGGAGUAUAUAAUAAUUGUGGUAAAACAAAGAAAAUACUUGUAUCAUUUGGCUUCGUAAGUUAAAGUGUUGGUAUGAUUACACAUAGUCCUAUUACACAAGUAGUAACCAAUAACAUAUGUACUGUAUUUAUUUGGACCAAAAAAAGCUAGCAUUAGUGUAUAUAUGUAUGAAAUAUUGCACAAAUUAUGAAAUUAUAACUUUUAGAAUGGAAAUAAAAAUCCACAGAAAUCUAUUGGAACUAUCCCAUCCAUUUUCUACCGCUUAUUCCCUUCCGGGGUCGCGGGGGGCGCUGGCGCCUAUCUCAGCUACAAUCGGGCGGAAGGCGGGGUACACCCUGGACAAGGCGCCACCUCAUCGCAGGGCAAACACAGAUAGACAGACAACAUUCACACUCACAUUCACACACUAGGGCCAAUUUAGUGUUGCCAAUCAACCUAUCCCCAGGUGCAUGUCUUUGGAAGUGGGAGGAAGCCGGAGUACCCGGAGGGAACCCACGCAUUCACGGGGAGAACAUGCAAACUCCCCACAGAAAGAUCCCGAGCCUGGAUUUGAACCCAGGACUGCAGGAACUUCGUAUUGUGAGGCAGACGCACUAUCCCCUCUGCCAACGUGAAGCCCCUAUUGGAACUAAUGGAAAGUAUUUCUAGCUUUAUUAUACAUCCAUGCUGUUGUCCGUGAAUGUGAUGUAUCACCUAUAACUCAUCAGAUACUAAAGCCCCCCAAAAAAACUACAACUCCAAAAAAUUUGUAAAAAGCAAAACUCUAUGGAGAGCUUUUUUGCAAAGGGAAAAUGCCAGGGGCUCCCACUAAUUCAAUGUUAUGGUGAGUUAUUUCAUGUAUUAAUUUUUCAUUCACUUAUUUGCUAUCCGCCACACGUGGAAGGUCAUCCGCGAAAGUAAUGCCAACAUUAAACCAGUCCCUGGUGUUGUAGGUAUUGCCUUUGAUUUGAAUUAAAUUCAAAUAGACAACCAAUUCUUUGUUUUUCCAUUUUUAUUAAUGAAAUUAAAAUGAAAUGACCAAACAUACACUGACCGGCAACCUUGAACAGUUGAACCGCUUCACGCCUGCCCUCUCUUAAAGUAUCAGAAUGUCCAUCCAACCAUUUUUCUACCACAUGUCCCUUUUGGAGUCGCUGGGGGACACUGGAGCCUAUCUCAGCUGCGUUUCGGGCAGAAGACAGUGUACACCCUGGACAAGUCGCCACCUCAUCGCAGGGCCAACACAGAUAGACAGACAAUAUUCACACUGACAUUCACACACUAGGGCAGAUUUAGUGUUGGCAAUCAACCUAUCCCCAGGUGCAUGUCUUCGGAGGUGGGAGGAAG